GAUGAACGCUAGCUACAGGCUUAACACAUGCAAGUCGAGGGGCAGCAUGUCGGUUGCUUGCAACCGACGAUGGCGACCGGCGCACGGGUGAGUAACGCGUAUCCAACCUACCCUUGUCCAUCGGAUAACCCGUCGAAAGGCGGCCUAACACGAUAUGCGGUUCUCAGCAGGCAUCUAACGAGAACGAAAUGUGAAGGAGAAGGAUGGGGAUGCGUCUGAUUAGCUUGUUGGCGGGGUAACGGCCCACCAAGGCGACGAUCAGUAGGGGUUCUGAGAGGAAGGUCCCCCACAUUGGAACUGAGACACGGUCCAAACUCCUACGGGAGGCAGCAGUGAGGAAUAUUGGUCAAUGGACGGGAGUCUGAACCAGCCAAGUAGCGUGCAGGACGACGGCCCUAUGGGUUGUAAACUGCUUUAUAGGGGGAUAAAGUGUGCCACGUGUGGCAUAUUGCAGGUACCCUAUGAAUAAGGACCGGCUAAUUCCGUG
rnacentral:rRNA from 1 species